ensembl:lncRNA
GUCAUUUCUUAUUGGAAUCUAGUUAUUAAAUUGGUGAUCAACCUCAUAAGACUAAAAAAGAAAAAUGCUGUCAUUCACUAUAUGUUCUCCCUCCUAAGCAUCCAAAGGAAGAUCUUCAUGCUAAUUAAACCUCAUUGUUGGUUUUGCCUGGGCCUCAUCUGCAUAGCAGCCAGAAGCGUCCAGGGUCCAGCAGUUCCUGUGGAACAGUGCCCCCCGUCCCCACCUCUGCGAACAGAACAGAACUUCCCGCUUUGUGACGCUAAGCCUCAGACAUUUACACGGUGGCAAAAGGGAGGAGUCAACAGCUACAAAGCAACGGGCUCUUGGUGGGAUCACGACUGAAGUCCUUCACGACGUGGAGCAGGGAGCGACGAACUCAGCCUGAGGCCCGGGACGGGAAGGACAGACUUCCUGCAUGCGGUUGGACACACUGCUACCGGCAACUCCUGCAUCCUCUAUCUCACAAUUUUGCUCCGAGAAGAAAAGAAGAAGAUAAAAAAGCCACUUGACUAAAAUUGCCCACCUCCUCGCCCCCAGCCUGACGCCAGUUGGAAAGUCCCAGGGAAAGCCUCCCCUGGACUCAGGUGGGGUGAGGGGCCCCGGGUGCGGGCGCGCCCUCUGUCAUCCAGUCCCCACUGGAAGCAGCAGGCUGCAGCGAGAGAGAAGCAGUCUCCCCCAAGAAGAGAGGGGGGGUCCCCAGAAAUGAGGAGGGGUCAGAGGCAGUCAGAGCGAUACAUGCUCACACCGAAGCAAAGGGGGUCAUUGUUCUUCCUGCUUCACUCCCUGGCGAGCGGGACCCUAGGCUAAGGGGGAAGCUCGUGGUCAAACCCACAUGUGGCCGACAUGGGGAACACAGUCCAGAACAGGUUGAAAGGCGCCUCCGAGUUGAAAGUGCUCAGCAAUAAAAGGUAAACCAAGUUAUUCUGGCGCCUGUAACCUAAACCAUUCCAGUUUACAGUCUUAACGAAAGUACUACAGGACCAAGGAUCAAAACCGGACAGCAUUUUGUUAGGAAACGGCACUAUUUCAGAGUUUUGUUUUGUUUUGUUUCCCCACAAAGUUUUAUUCAUCUGCUGUUAAAUCAUGCAUAUGAUUUACUUGGGGCUAUGACUGAAAUUUUUUCAAUUAGAAAAAUGUAAAUUAC